rnacentral:tRNA from 1 species
GCUCAGGUAGGUUAUUGGAUAAAGCGUUCGUCUGCCAUACAAGGUUCCUGGGUUCAAAUCCCACCCGAGCA